CCUACGGGUGGCAGCAGUGGGGAAUAUUGCACAAUGGGGGAAACCCUGAUCCAGCGACGCCGCGUGAGGGAAGAAGUUUUUCGGUAUGUAAACUUCUAUUAACAGGGAAGAAAAUGACGGUACCUGACUAGUAAGCUCCGUCUAACUACGUGCCAGCACCCGCGGUAAUACGUAGGGUGCAGGCGUUAUCCGGAUUGACUGGGUGUAAAGGGAGCGUAGGCGGCGAUGCAAGUCAGAAGUGAAAGCCCGGGGCUCAACUACGGGACUGCUGUUGAAACUGUGUUGCUGGAUUGUAGGAGAGGUAAGCGGAAUUCGUGGUGUAGCGGUGAAAUGCGUAGAUAUUAGGAGGAACACCAGUGGCGAAGGCGGCUUACUGGACUGUAAAUGACGCUGAGGCUCGAAAGCGUGGGGAGCAAACAGGAUUAGAUACCCUAGUAGUC
rnacentral:rRNA from 1 species